rnacentral:rRNA from 1 species
AACCACAAACUUAGACAAUAAAUCACCACAUUGUUCGCCCGAGAACUACAAGCGCUAGCUUAAAACCCAAAGGACUUGGCGGUAUCCCACACCCACCUAGAGGAGCCUGUUCUAUAACCGAUAAUCCCCGUUCAACCUCACCACUUCUUGCCAUUACCGUCUAUAUACCGCCGUCGUCAGCUCACCCUGUGAAGGGCUAAAAGUAAGCAAAAAGAACUCAAACCCCAAAACGUCAGGUCGAGGUGUAGCGAAUGAAGUGGGAAGAAAUGGGCUACAUUUU